UGGGCGAAAGCCUGACCGAGCGACGCCGCGUGUGGGAUGAAGGCCUUCGGGUUGUAAACCACUGUCAACGGGGAGGAAAUGUAGGGGGGUACUCCCCUCUACUUGACCUAUCUGUGGAGGAAGUACGGGCUAAGUUCGUGCCAGCAGCCGCGGUAAGACGAACCGUACGAACGUUAUUCGGAAUUACUGGGCUUAAAGGGUGCGUAGGCGGUGCGGUAAGUUGGGUGUGAAAGCCCUCAGCUCAACUGAGGAAUUGCACUCAAAACUACCGUGCUAGAGGGAGACAGAGGUAAGCGGAACUCAAGGUGGAGCGGUGAAAUGCGUUGAUAUCUUGAGGAACACCGGUGGCGAAGGCGGCUUACUGGGUCUUUUCUGACGCUGAGGCACGAAAGCCAAGGUAGCAAACGGGAUUAGAUACCCCGGUAGUCUUGGCUGUAAACGAUGAGCACUUGAUUGAAGGGUCCUCCAUAGCCUUUCAGUCGUAGCGAAAGUGUUAAGUGCUCCGCCUGGGGA
rnacentral:rRNA from 1 species